UACACGCUGUGACUAGCAUAUCAAUAAGCGGAGGAAAAGAAACUAACAAGGAUUCCCCUAGUAACGGCGAGUGAAGCGGGAAGAGCUCAAAUUUGAAAUCUUAAAGGGUUUCCCUUUACGAAUUGUAGUUUAAAGAAGUGUUUUCUGUUGAGGUUUUGGUAAAAGUUCUUUGGAAUAGGACAUCAUAGAGGGUGAGAAUCCCGUAUUUGACCUUUACUUUCAACUUUGUGAUACACUUUCAAAGAGUCGGAUUGUUUGGGAAUGCAGUCCAAAAUGGGUGGUAAAUUUCAUCUAAAGCUAAAUAUUGGCGAGAGACCGAUAGCGAACAAGUACCGUGAGAGAAAGAUGAAAAGAACUUUGAAAAGAGAGUUAAACAGUACGUGAAAUUGUCAAAAGGGAAGCGUUUGACACCAGUGUUGUUUUUCUGAAAAUCAAUUAAAGAACUGUUUAUGCUAAGUUGUUUAGACUUUAUCAGCUAACUGUUUAGUUUUGAGCUCUUCUUUAAUGCACUUUUCAGUUAACAAGUCAACAUCAAUUUCUUUUGCUGUAAAAAAGCUUGAGGAAGGUGGCUUGAGAUUCGUCUUAAGUGUUUAUAGCCUCUUGCCUAUGCAGUCGGAGAGAUUGAGGUCUGCAGCGUAGAUCCUUCGGGGCUAAAUGCAUUUGUGCUAAGUUAUAGCAUUUUAUAGACAACUUGUUGACUAUGAUUUGUCUUGUAGCUUACUCGCUUAUGUUAUUUUACCUACGCUUAGGAUGUUGAAGAUGUAGCACAUCAU
rnacentral:rRNA from 1 species